GACGAACGCUGGCGGCGUGCUUAACACAUGCAAGUCGAACGGAAAGGCCUGCUUUCCCUUGUGGCUUGCGGGUACUCGAGUGGCGAACGGGUGAGUAACACGUGAGUGAUCUGCCCCCAACUUGGGUAUAAGCCUGGGAAACUGGGUCUAAUUCCCGAUAGGACUGCAGUGUGGUGCCUGUGGUGGAACACGAUUUUCUAGUGGUUGGGGAUGAGCUCGCGGCCUAUCAGCUUGUUGGUGGGGUAAUGGCCUACCACGGCGGCGACGGGUAGCCCGCGUGGGAGAGUCAACGGCGGCAUGGGAGCAGGGUUACGGCCCAGAGUCCUGCGGGACGCAGCAGUGGGGAAUGUGGGGCAGUGGGCGGAAGCCUGAUGCAGCGAGGCAGAGUGGGAGAUGGCGGCGUUCGGGUUGUGAUCUACGUUCGAGCGCGAGAAAGCCACCUGGUUGGGAGGGUGGUGACGGUAGUGGUAGAAAAAGCACCGGCUAACUACGUG
rnacentral:rRNA from 1 species